GAAAUGCGAUAAGUAAUGUUAAUUGCAGAAUUCAGUGAAUCAUCGAAUCUUUGAACGCACAUUGCGCCCGCCAGUAUUCUGGCGGGCAUGCCUGUUCGAGCGUCAUUUCAACCAUCAAGCCCCGGGCUUGUGUUGGGGACCUGCGGCUGCCGCAGGCCCUGAAAACCAGUGGCGGGCUCGCUGUCACACCGAGCGUAGUAGAUUCUCAUCUCGCUCAGGGCGUGCUGCGGGUUCCGGCCGUAAAACAGCCUUAUUUUACCCAAGGUUGACCUCGGAUCAGGUAGGAAGACCCGCUGAACUUAAGC
rnacentral:misc_RNA from 1 species